GUGCCAGCAGCCGCGGUAAUACGUAGGGUGCGAGCGUUAAUUGGAAUUACUGGGCGUAAAGCGUGCGCAGGCGGCUUUGCAAGACAGAGGUGAAAUCCCCGGGCUCAACCUGGGAACUGCCUUUGUGACUGCAAGGCUAGAGUACGGCAGAGGGGGAUGGAUUCCGCGUGUAGCAGUGAAAUGCGUAGAUAUGCGGAGGAACACCGAUGGCGAAGGCAAUCCCCUGGGCCUGUACUGACGCUCAUGCACGAAAGCGUGGGGAGCAAACAGGAUUAGA
rnacentral:rRNA from 1 species